rnacentral:misc_RNA from 1 species
AGCCAUAGGUAUUGAGCUGCCUGACGAAGCUGGAGAAGUUAUUAUGCUUGAAGUAUUUGGGCAAAAGAUCCCUAGCGAACUCAGGCGGGUUCCAAACCACAAAGCUAUUAUUCGUAGGGCUCCAGGACACAACCGCAUCGGUAGCCGGAUCAUCCACCAUAUCAUAUGUCUUACUCAAGAACGGUGGAGGCGCGUUAGAAUUAGUGAUAGGAGCCGGCACCGUCGGCUGAGAGUUGACACUCCCGGAAGCCAAUCCAGCAUCGCCG